AUCUAUCACUUUCACAGCACUUUCUGAAGUUAAAUCAGUAUCAGCCUCUCUGUUUUGCACCCAGGGUAAAAAUGUGGAAGUGAAUACAGCCAGCCAAGAUUACUUCUUGGAUCAGAUUCCAAGUGUCCAGGAAUUCCAGGCUGAAGUUCUUUCCAUUAGAUCCUGCUGUCACCUAAUACAAACUGCUGCUGAUAGCAGGUUGCAGAUUUGAGACAAAAGCAGUGAAGUGGUUCUUCAGUUUGCCUGGGUUCCUGGAACUGACAGGCAUCAGCACCAGAGAUGGCAUGCUAGGCUGGAGAUAAUAUUUUUAUCUAGCCUCACUGGCACGUUAACCUGGAGAGAAAGAGGUCAUCUUCUAACUCAGGACCAUGCCUGCAUGACUUGGAGCCUGCAUCUCAUUGUCUGAUGGGAGAAGCACCAUAUCCAGGGCAAGGUCUUUCUUUUGCAGGCAGACCUCUGUGUCUGCAUGGUGGCUCACUGACUUAUCCACUGGUACAAGGAUCCUCCAGAGUGGGUCUAUGGACUUAGAUCCUAAGCAGGAAGCAAUAGAUUGUGCUAUGCAUUCAUUUCAAUUUCUUUACUCCGUGGGAAUUAUUGUAUCUGCGAGCCAAAACAACAGUACUCCCUGAUGCCAACUCCAGCUGUUCCUCCCUUGUAAAAUUUAUGAGCUGUUUUCAAGAGCCUGAAUAGAUCUUGUGAUGGAACUUCAGUAUAGUCACAAAGAUAUUUUUAAUUGCUGCGACGUUGUCAGGUUUCCUUGCAACACAAAGCGUGCUGUUAGUUGGCUGAUUAGACAGUGUGCUCCUGGAGAUGCCAGCCUGCCGGGUCACUGAGCUAAAGGAAGAAGUCCAGCCAGACUUCAGAUUUACUCCAAAUCCUUGCUGGGAACACCAACAAAUGGGCUGAUAAAGGCAGGCUGAAGUAGUUCUAAACAAAUGAGUGCACUAGUGGGAGAGUUUGGUAUCUUUCCACUGGGCUCUUCACAGAGGUCCAAGUGGCAUUGCACACUGUAGGCAACUGCAUGUCAGUACUCAUGCUUUGUGAGGGUUUGUGACUGAGCCUGUGGUAGAUAGAGGAGCCUGGCAUCAGUCCAAAACAUCUCACUUUUCUUUCUUUAGGUUCUGAUGUAAAAAUGACGUCGUGAACACAAUUUGUCAUUAGAAGUCCUCUAGCAGGUGUCAUGGAAAUAAGAAUUUUAUCUCACCUGAUCAACAUUCAGAUUUCAUAAUUACAAUUUUAUUUUAUGUCUCUGAUUCCCCUAAGGAAAAACCCAAUAAUUUAUAAAAUCCUAGAAAAGACCAUGGCUUCUGCAUGAGCAGACCAUGCAGCAGCAUCACUUUAGGAGUGGGUAGUCCAGCGAACCUGAAGCCAAGGUUAAUGUCACUGUGUUCAGCUAGCUGGAGGCUUUUAGCUCAAGUGCUCCACCCUCUGUACGUGCUCCCAGACACCAGGAAUGGAUAAAGAAGCACAAAGAGGUGACAUGGAUUAUGCGGCCACAAACCAGCAAGGCCUGUGCCAUUUCUGAGCUUGUGGCUUUAUAACAUUUUGUGCCACAGAGGUGUCAAACCUCUAAAGAUCUCAAGACCUAUAAGACAAUAGCCUUAAAAUGUCUGCCAAGGACAUAAAAUAAGGCACAUAAAAAGUUAAAGAGGAAAUGGGAAAAGCAGUGGGAUUAUUAAUUGCUACUAUUUAAGCAAAGCUGUCUGUAGUAUUAGGACCCUUUGUGGCUUGACAUUUGUAGUCUCAGUAAAUUAGAGUAAUAAAAGAAAUAGACCUCUCUGGACAGAGGUAAAAUUAGGUGUAAUACCAUGGGUUACUAGUUAGUUCAUGAUCCUUCAGCCUAUUGAAGAUAAAGAUCCCUAAGGCCUGUGCUGCCAUCCCUAGUUUGGCUUGUGCAGAAGAGAUUGGGACACAUCCCCACCGGGGGGCACAAACUGGCCUAGCUGGCCUGCAAAGAAAGUGGUGCUGGUAGCAACAAAGUCAAAGGACUGAUGUGGAAAAUCGUGACUUCAUCCUCUCUGCCCCUUGGAGAUUAUUUGCAUCCAUAGGAGUGCAAGGAGCAAUCAACCCUUCUCUCUUGUCUGUCGAACCAUAGAGCGUCUAAUCCAAAUCUCUGUUAAUAUUUCAUUUGAGUUCAGUAGACUUUGGAGCCAGCCCCAGGCUCAGACUUAGCAUGUCUUUUCGGAAGCUCAGUAUCUGAUUAUUAUUAAGAUGUGAGAGGCUCCUGUGAAGCAGAAGCCUGAGCAUUCCUGUUGAAUUGAGACUUGAAGCACUGAAUGUGAGAAAAAGUUGAUCUGCUGAGCUGAAUCUUCCCCCAUGCUCAUGAAACUCAGUACUGCUCCAGGAACACAGGGAAGAUAUGGAAAUAGUGCAUUCAGGUGACUAGAGAUAUUUUAGCAUGAUACCAUGUAGCCUGCAGUUCCUAUUGUGAGCAGCUUUUAGGAACUUAAUGCUCUCUGGGACCUUGGCUAAGAAUAAGCUUAGGUGCUGUGUAUAUCCACAAGGGACUUUGCGCUUGCUCUGAACUGUGGUGGUGGUAGAGUGUCUCCCCUGCUCUGCCUUGGUAUAUAAGCAACAGAAGAAAUAAGAGACUUAAUGGCAGCAGACACUCAGUGAUCAAAGCUGGUUUUGAGUACCUUACCUUAUAUCUUAUAUACCUUAUAUAUAUCUUAUAUACCUUACAUCUAUCUUAUAAACCUUAUAUCUUGACUUGGCCAGAGAGUUUUCAAAAGAGUUAGGAAGUAAAUAAGAAGACUCCUAAGCCACCUUCUUUUUUGUUUAUUUAUUUUUUAAUAGGCUUCAUUGAUACGACUUGAUGUAAUUGAUAAAGGGGAUUGUAACUUUGACCAUCACACUAGUGCAGUCUAUCCAUAGCUGCUUGGUCUUUUUACUACAGUUUUGAGUUUGCUCAAAGAUAUUGUGAGUAGUUUUGGAGCCUGUAAUGCGUGAUGGCAUGUGGACUGAAUGUAACAUGGCUCCUUCCCGAACAAGGAAAUAACUGCAUAGCAGUCGCCAGAAAGAAUGACACCUUCCCUAAUGUAAACUGGUAGAAUCAGCAUCCUCCAAAAUGACUGAGAGAGAUGCAUAAAGAGCUCACCUCAGCCUAAUGAAGUCUCAUUAGUGGGAUGCCAAAAAGGAACCUUCAUGCCAUGGCUAUUUUAACCACAGGAGGACCACAAAUCCUGUACGUGCUCAGGCAAAGAGGCAGAGGUCUGUCAUUAGCAGUCUCUGAGUUACACAGGUAGAUGGCAAAGCAACGAGUAGAGAGCCGUAGCCGUCUGUCCGAUAAAAGAAAGAUUAACAAAGAGUCUGUCAGUAGGAGCCUGCUAGUGAGAGAUCCCCAUAAUGGCAGAGCAAGUGAAUAGCAUGUGUUUAAAGAGCCCAUAAUCCUAUAUUUACACAACAGUCCUUAAUGGCUCAUUCAGAGCCAUUGCAAAGAACCAAGUAAAUAGUGUUGUUAGAAAGUCUGUUACUUUAUAUUUACUCACUAGACCGUCUGCUGUGGGAGCUGUGAAUGUUGUGGAGAGCUAAAAGGAACAUUCUUUUUAUUUUUAUUUUUUUAUUUUUUGGCUAUGAAAAGCUAGCUAAUAAUGAUACUGAAAACCACUUUCAAUAGGAACUAUACCUUCACUUUGCACCAGUGAAGGAGAACAACCAUUAGCACACUUUGUCAAGGAAAGGGAUGCAUUUAUCAUCACCUGGAGUCUUUUCAUAGAGACUGGAUGUGCUCUAAAAGAUACACUCUUAUUCAGCAAGACGUUAUUGAACUCAAUAGCACUCACCUGUGUGGAAGGGAAAACUCAUUCUCUUCACUGCAAGAACUAAGAGGGUAUAAAAUG